CCAAUAGCGUAUAUUAAAGUUGCUGCAGUUAAAAAGCUCGUAGUUGAAUUUCAGGAUCAUUAUGUCGGUCGUGCCUCGGUACGUACUGGCAUCGUUGAUUUCUCCCUUCUGACGAACCAUGAUGUCAUUUAUUUGGUGUUGUGGGGAAUCAGGACUGUUACUUUGAAAAAAUUAGAGUGUUUAAAGCAGGUUCACGCUUGAAUACAUUAGCAUGGAAUAAUGAAAUAGGACGUUUGAUUCUAUUUUGUUGGUUUCUAGGAUCGACGUAAUGAUUAAUAGGGAUAGUUGGGGGCAUUAGUAUUCAAUUGUCAGAGGUGAAAUUCUUGGAUUUAUUGAAGACUAACUACUGCGAAAGCAUUUGCCAAGGAUGUUUUCAUUAAUCAAGAACGAAAGUUAGGAAAUCGAAGACGAUCAGAUACCGUCGUAGUCUUAACCAUAAACUAUGCCGAUUAGGGAUCGGAUGAUGUUAAUUUUUUAAUGACUCAUUCGGCGCCUUACG
rnacentral:rRNA from 1 species